GGGUGCAAUUCUAAUUGAAAAAAUCCAUUGGUCAUGUCUAGAAUGCGGAAGAAUUCGCUUCCCCCCAAGCUAUCCAAGAUUUCCUGUAUAUUUGGAGUGCCAUCUGCCUUUUUCUUCUUUACCAAGAGGAGUGGCGCCGCCCAUUCACUGCUGGAUGGCUCGAUGACUCCCAUGUUUAACAUCUUCCUAAUUUCCUCCUCGACCAGCGACCUCUGCAAAUACGGAACUGGAGCAUAUAUUCGAAAUCUGACACCAUUGAGUCGUCGCAGUGAAGGCACCGCACGUUCUCCUUCACCUCCGAGAUUAACACAUCCUCGAGCGGCUCCCACGGUGAGACCUCUACCAGCUGUCUAUGGCAGCCUUUGACCUUCUGCUCUGCUUGGGAGGAGUUGGAAAACAUAUCGGGAACACGGCCCGCUUCGUCCACCGAACAGAUCGUUGGCGGUGGUGGUGGGCCUUCCCCCACGUUCAGCCCCUGUACAUAGAGUACCGUCCCUGGCUUGCUACUGGUUUGCAAAAGAACUAUUGUUGUUGAUUCGGGCGCCAAUUUGCAUGAUCCGAAGGACCUGUGCGGUUGAAUUUGAACAGUUGGUCCCCUUUCUUCGUAAAGCUCUAUGCUAUCACGCGCUGCUAUUGUGACUACGUUAACCUCCUUUUUCCUAGGUCGAUACUCUUGUCCUGGAGUGGCGCCCUUUGCGAAAGCUGAUUAUAACCAAGAGGCAAUUCGCCCCAAGGAAAUUGAAGAACCUUUCUGGACGUAAUUAAGUUAGCCUGGUGUUCGCACAUGAAAUCGCUGCCGAUUAAGCUUUCAAAGUCUAUAAACACAUCUACUUGACCAACAACCUUCAUGGGUGCACCAUUAGCGGUGCCAACUUUGUGCUGAAAAGGAACGAUGGCAGCGCGUAGUUCUUGCACUAAGGCCAGAGACAUGAGGCUGACCGUGGCACCUGAGUCGACCAGGAAUGUGACAUCCUCUCCUAAGACACGUCCAACCACAACAAACCCCGGAGUAGGCGUAACAAUAUA